UUUCAUUUUUGUUUCUAAACAUAAUUGAAUUCUUUUUCUCUUCACUUAAUAUUAGAAUGAACUAUGUGACAUUUACAGUUUGGCAUUUUUGACUUACAAAAAUAUAAUUUAUAUAGUUCGGCCUAACAAUUCUGAUAAUCUAAUUUCUUGUGAUUGUUAGAGUCAAGUAUUACUUUUAUUUUGUUUGUUUUGUUUCUUUUCCUCUGCUUCCACAUUUAGUCAUCCUUCAUAUUUUAAUGCCUGUUGACAUUUUGGAAAAGAGGGGUCAUGCAUUCUGGAAAAUAAUGCAGAGUGGUACAGGCUGAAGCGGAGCGGAGAGGACACUGUUUCAAGAUUCCUGCGCCAGCUCCUUCGUUGUUAUAGAAGUUGGACUAAAUAAAAGGGUAAUCACAAGCGUACAGAUAACAGGCAGGCAGGAAUGUGAAAAUC
rnacentral:lncRNA from 1 species